rnacentral:lncRNA from 10 species
CGCCUCCCGGGUUCAAGCGAUUCUCUUGCCUCAGCCUCCCGAGCAGCUGGGACUACAGGUGUGUGCCACCACACCGGCCUAAUUUUCUUUUCUUUUCUUUUCUUUUCUUUUUAUUUUUUGAGACGGAGUUUCACUCUUUCGCCCAGGCUGGAGUGCAGUGGCGUGAUCUCAGCUCACUGCAAACUCCGCCUCUCGGGUUCAGGCCAUUCUCCUGCCUCAGCCUCCUGAGUAGCUGGGACCACAGGCGCCUGCCACCACGCCCAGCUAAUUUUUUUUUUUGUAUUUUUUAGUAGAGACGGGGUUUCACCCUGUUAGCCAGGAUGGUCUCGAUCUCCUGACCUCAUGAUCCGCCCGCCUCAGCCUCCCAAAGUGCUGGGAUAACAGGCGUGAACCACCAUGCCCAGCCACGCCCAGCUAAUUUUCUGUAUUUUAGUAGAGAUGGGAUUUCACCAUGUUGCCCAGGCUGGUCUUGAACUCCUGGGUCCAGGCAGUCUGCCCACCUUGGCCUCCCAAAGUACUGAGAUUACAGGCAUGAGCCACCGGGCCUGGCCCCACGGUGUGACUUUGACCUCCUCAUGGGAGGAAAAAGCAGGAUGAAGCGGGGAUGAUGUCUGUCGGUCCUCAGCAGGAGCAUCUGCCAACGUCUCCACAUUGUGGACCUGAGAUUGUUCUCCGGAAGCUGCAGUCGGAGCAUCGCCAGGCCCAGCCCUGGGUCCUCCACCCGGGCCACUGCCUCUCAGGCGGCCUCUCCCUGCCCCCGCCCCUCCGGGGCCCCACAGGGCGGCCAGUGCAGACCUGGGUGUGCAACGGCCCCAUCAGCGUUUGUUUCAUGAACAAAUAAAUGUCUAAAUUCAGGACCCA